GGAAUAUUGCGCAAUGGAGGAAACUCUGACGCAGUGACGCCGCGUGCAGGAAGAAGGUUUUCGGAUUGUAAACUGCUUUAGACAGGGAAGAAAAAGACAGUACCUGUAGAAUAAGCUCCGGCUAACUACGUGCCAGAAGCCGCGGUAAUACGUAGGGAGCGAGCGUUAUCCGGAUUUAUUGGGUGUAAAGGGUGCGUAGACGGGAGAUUAAGUUAGUUGUGAAAUCCCCAUGCUUAACAUGGGAACUGCAACUAAAACUGGUUUUCUGGAGUGUUGGAGAGGAAAGUGGAAUUCCUAGUGUAGCGGUGAAAUGCGUAGAUAUUAGGAGGAACACCAGUGGCGAAGGCGACUUUCUGGACAAUAACUGACGUUGAGGCACGAAAGUGUGGGGAGCAAACA
rnacentral:rRNA from 1 species